CACUGAAACACCAGUUUCCAUACAAUCACCAAAGUUAGGCAAUGUUAAGCCUGGUCAAUACCUAGAUGGGAGACCACUUGGGAAUACCAGGUGCUGUAAG
rnacentral:rRNA from 1 species